AACAAAACAAAAUUUAUUGUGUAACUGGGAGUCUUGUGAGUGCAACCAUAUGAGGAUCAUCAAAGAGAGUCAUGGAGCUAGAAGCAGAUGCAGUGCAUCAUGAGCUAAUAUAUGUGGACGAGGCAGGUUUCAACCUUGCAAAAACAAGGGGACGUGGCAGAAAUAUCAUUGGACACCGUGCCAUCAUCAACAUCCUGGGACAACGUGGUGGCAACAUAACAAUGUGUGUGGCUAUUAGUCAAAAUGGCAUCCUUCACCAUCAUGCAAUCCUAGGCCCAUACAACACUGCACACAUUAUCACAUUUCUGGACACCCUCCACAACAGACUAAUCCCUAAUAACCAGGGGCCAGAGCAGCCCAGGUACGUUAUCAUCUGGGACAAUGUUAGUUUCACUGGGCUGCUGUGGUCCGCAAUUGGUUCACAGGUCACCCACUUUUCAUCGCACUCUAUCUCCCCCCAUACACUCCGUUCUUGAAUCCUAUUGAAGAAUUCUUCUCUGUAUGGAGUUGGAAGGUGUAUGAUCGCCAGCCCCACCAACGCAUACCCCUUCUACAGGCAAUGGAGGAGGCUUGUGGAGACAUCGAUCAGAGGUCAUGCCAGGCCUGGAUACGGCACUCCAGGCGAUACUUUCCACGCUGCCUAACUCAAGACAACAUUGCAUGUGAUGUGGGUGAAAUCGUAUGGCCAGACCCAC
rnacentral:lncRNA from 1 species